rnacentral:tRNA from 1 species
GGGAACGUGCGUAGUGGUAAGCGCGCACAUAUAAAAUGUGAGGGGCAAGUUCAAUUCUUGUCGUUCCCACCA